UACGUAGGCAGCAAGCGUUGUUCGGAGUUACUGGGCGUAAAGGGUGUGUAGGCGGUUGGAUAAGUGUGGUGUGAAAUCUCCCGGCUUAACUGGGAGGGUGCGCUACAAACUGUCUGACUAGAGUGUGGGAUGGGAGAGUGGAAUUCCUGGUGUAGCGGUGAAAUGCGUAGAUAUCAGGAGGAACACCGGUGGUGUAGACGGCUCCCUGGACCAUAACUGACGCUGAGACACGAAAAGCGUGGGUAGCAAACAGG
rnacentral:rRNA from 1 species